UACGAAGGGGGUUAGCGUUGUUCGGAAUUACUGGGCGUAAAGGGCGCGUAGGCGGCCUCGUCCGUCCGGCGUGAAAUGCCUGGGCUCAACCUAGGAAUUGCGCUCGAUACAGCGAGGCUAGAGUGUGGGAGAGGUUGGUGGAAUUCCCAGUGUAGAGGUGAAAUUCGUAGAUAUUGGGAAGAACACCGGUGGCGAAGGCGGCCAACUGGACCACAACUGACGCUGAGGCGCGAAAGCGUGGGGAGCAAACAGG
rnacentral:rRNA from 1 species